rnacentral:lncRNA from 1 species
AUGAGUAAACGUAGUGGUAAUUUCUAUACCAGCCAUCAAAAUCACCACCAUUGUCUUCAAUCAUCAGCACCCAUCAAAAUCACCACCAUUGUCAUCAAUCAUCAUCAGCACCCAUCAAAAUCACCACCAUUGUCAUCAAUCAUCAUCAGCACCCAUCAAAAUCACCACCAUUUUCAUCAAUCAUCAUCAGCACCCAUCAAAAUCACCACCAUUGUCAUCAAUCAUCAGCACCCAUCAAAAUCACCACCAUUGUCAUCAAUCAUCAGCACCCAUCAAAAUCACCACCAUUGUCAUCAAUCAUCAUCAGCACCCAUCGAAAUCACCACCAUUGUCAUCAAUCAUCAUCAGCACCCAUCGAAAUCACCACCAUUGUCAUCAAUCAUCAUCAGCCCCCAUCGAAAUCACCACCAUUGUCAUCAAUCAUCAUCAGCCCCCAUCGAAAUCACCACCAUUGUCAUCAAUCAUCAUCAGCCCCCAUCGAAAUCACCACCAUUGUCAUCAAUCAUCAUCAGCCCCCAUCGAAAUCACCACCAUUGUCAUCAAUCAUCAUCAGCCCCCAUCGAAAUCACCACCAUUGUCAUCAAUCAUCAUCAGCCCCAUCGAAAUCACCACCAUUGUCAUCAAUCAUCAUCAGCCCCCAUCGAAAUCACCACCAUUGUCAUCAAUCAUCAUCAGCCCCCAUCGAAAUCACCACCAUUGUCAUCAAUCAUCAUCAGCACCCAUCGAAAUCACCACCAUUGUCAUCAAUCAUCAUCAGCACCCAUCGAAAUCACCACCAUUGUCAUCAAUCAUCAUCAGCACCCAUCGAAAUCACCACCAUUGUCAUCAAUCAUCAUCAGCACCCAUCGAAAUCACCACCAUUGUCAUCAAUCAUCAUCAGCACCCAUCGAAAUCACCACCAUUGUCAUCAAUCAUCAUCAGCCCCCAUCGAAAUCACCACCAUUGUCAUCAAUCAUCAUCAGCACCCAUCGAAAUCACCACCAUUGUCAUCAAUCAUCAUCAGCACCCAUCAAAAUCACCACCAUUGUCAGCAAUCAUCAGCACCCAUCAAAAUCACCACCAUUGUCAGCAAUCAUCAGCACCCAUCAAAAUCACCACCAUUGUCAUCAAUCAUCAGCACCCGUCAAAAUCACCACCAUUGUCAUCAAUCAUCAUCAGCACCCGUCAAAAUCACCACCAUUGUCAUCAAUCAUCAGCACCCGUCAAAAUCACCACCAUUGUCAUCAAUCAUCAUCAGCACCCAUCAAAAUCACCACCAUUGUCAUCAAUCAUCAUCAGCACCCGUCAAAAUCACCACCAUUGUCAUCAAUCAUCAGCACCCGUCAAAAUCACCACCAUUGUCAUCAAUCAUCAGCACUAUAA